rnacentral:lncRNA from 1 species
CGAGACUUCAGUGACAGAUGGAGGAGGAAAUCUUAGAGGCCUUUAGGAUCCCAGAUUGCUGCCUUCAAUGGUUUCCAUUAGUAUUGCCAAUCCCUUCUUCCCACCAGGCACAAACUCACAACUGCAUGGCAAGUCCUAAACUCUUGUGUCCAUGUAGAUCAGAAUGGGAACUGGUUUUCUUUCAUUCACUGUGUAUGAAGAAAAUACGCAGUUAUCUCAUGAAGGCCGAGGUUGUGUCAUUCCCUAAGCUUCUUCCUGUGAGCUCACGCUGGGCAGGGCCAGCACAGAUCGUUCAUCUUUUCUGCACCCCAUGACCGAGAAGCUGAUCAAUUUCCAGAAUAGCUCUAUCUGUUGAUAAAAUUGGAAAUGUUUGGGCCAAGUUUCUUCAGAAAUAGCCUCCUAUUCUAAGAACUGAAAACCAUCUUGGUCAUUGAGGCAUGGUUUAGAUGGCUAGAGGAUUUCUGGGGUUGGCAAGGCUCCAGUAUUUUCUGUAGUGAAUUGUGGGCCUGAGCUUGGGGUUCAAGGUAGAAGUGUUCUUGCCUGGUUGUAGGGCAGGCAGGGCAAGUCGGCCAUAGC